UACCAGACUCCUACGGGAGGCAGCAGUGAGGAAUAUUGGUCAAUGGGCUUACGCCUGAACCAGCCAAGUCGCGUGAGGGAAGACGGCCCUACGGGUUGUAAACCUCUUUUGUCGGGGAGCAAAGCGAGUCACGUGUGACUCAUUGAGAGUACCCGAAGAAAAAGCAUCGGCUAACUCCGUGCCAGCAGCCGCGGUAAUACGGAGGAUGCGAGCGUUAUCCGGAUUUAUUGGGUUUAAAGGGUGCGCAGGCGGAGGUGCAAGUCAGCGGUCAAAUUGCGGGGCUCAACCCCGGCCUGCCGUUGAAACUGGCGGCCUCGAGUGGGCGAGAAGUAUGCGGAAUGCGUGGUGUAGCGGUGAAAUGCAUAGAUAUCACGCAGAACUCCGAUUGCGAAGGCAGCAUACCGGCGCCCAACUGACGCUGAAGCACGAAAGCGUGGGUAUCGAACAGGAUUAGAUACCCCUGUAGU
rnacentral:rRNA from 1 species